rnacentral:piRNA from 1 species
UGAUAUAGUAAUAUUAGCCUG